GGAAUUUUGGGCAAUGGCCGCAAGGCUGACCCAGCGACGCCGCGUGCGGGAGGACGCCUUUCGGGGUGUAACCCGCUGUCAGGGGGGACGAACCGCCGGGAGACGAACAGGUUUCCGGUCUGACGGUACCCUCCAAGGAAGCGCCGGCUAACGCCGUGCCAGCAGCCGCGGUAAGACGGAGGGCGCGAGCGUUGUUCGGAAUCACUGGGCGUAAAGCGCGCGCAGGCGGAUGGGUAAGUCGGGGGUGAAAGACCGGGGCUCAACUCCGGGGCGGCCUCCGAGACUGCUUGUCUGGGGACCGGUAGGGGCAGGUGGAAUUCCCGGUGUAGCGGUGGAAUGCGUAGAGAUCGGGAAGAACACCGGUGGCGAAGGCGGCCUGCUGGGCCGGAUCCGACGCUGAGGCGCGAAAGCGUGGGGAGCAAAC
rnacentral:rRNA from 1 species